GGAGUAAAAGUCGUAACAAGGUUUCCGUAGGUGAACCUGCGGAAGGAUCAUUCAUAAUAAAGUGUUUUAUGGCACUUUUUAAAAAUCCAUAUCCACCUUGUGUGCAAUGUUAGAUCUCGUCGAUCUUGGCGAGAUUUUUAUACAUCAACUCAUUCUUUAACUAAUUUGUCUGAAAAAUAUUAUGAAUACUUAAUUCAAAAUACAACUUUCAACAACGGAUCUCUUGGCUCUC
rnacentral:misc_RNA from 1 species